rnacentral:rRNA from 1 species
CAAGUCGAGCGGUAGCACAGAGAGCUUGCUCUCGGGUGACGAGCGGCUGACGGGUGAGUAAUGUCUGGGAAACUGCCUGAUGGAGGGGGAUAACUACUGGAAACGGUAGCUAAUACCGCAUAACGUCGCAAGACCAAAGUGGGGGACCUUCGGGCCUCAUGCCAUCAGAUGUGCCCAGAUGGGAUUAGCUAGUAGGUGGGGUAACGGCUCACCUAGGCGACGAUCCCUAGCUGGUCUGAGAGGGUGAUCGGCCACACUGGAACUGAGACACGGUCCAGACUCCUACGGGAGGCAGCAGUAGGGAAUCUUCCGCAAUGGGCGAAAGCCUGACGGAGCAACGCCGCGUGAGUGAUGAAGGUCUUCGGAUCGUAAAACUCUGUUAUUAGGGAAGAACAAAUGUGUAAGUAACUAUGCACGUCUUGACGGUACCUAAUCAGAAAGCCACGGCUAACUACGUGCCAGCAGCCGCGGUAAUACGUAGGUGGCAAGCGUUAUCCGGAAUUAUUGGGCGUAAAGCGCGCGUAGGCGGUUUUUUAAGUCUGAUGUGAAAGCCCACGGCUCAACCGUGGAGGGUCAUUGGAAACUGGAAAACUUGAGUGCAGAAGAGGAAAGUGGAAUUCCAUGUGUAGCGGUGAAAUGCGCAGAGAUAUGGAGGAACACCAGUGGCGAAGGCGACUUUCUGGUCUGUAACUGACGCUGA